rnacentral:tRNA from 1 species
GCCUGAGUAGUGUUAGCGGUCGAGCACGCUGGUUUGUGGAGCCAGUAGCAACAGUUCAAAUCUGUUCUCAGGUACCA